CGUUGGUAAACAUAGAUUGUCUGAUCAAAUUAAUGAACCAAUCAAACAAUUGAAGAAAAGAAUUACCAAUUUUCAAUUAAUAUUACAAGUUAUUUUGGUGAAAUACAAAGCAAAAACGAAUAUGUCUGAUCCAAAGACACCAGAAAAAAUUGCAAAAAUGCUAUACUUCCUAAGUCCACGUAUAACACCGAAAGAGGUAGAAGAAAAACUCAAGCGUGAUAAUCAUUCAUCAACAGAACAGAUAAUAGACGAACAAAAUGAAAAAAACUGAUGAUUUUUAGAUUUUGAAAAUCAUAUCAUUUUAAAAAUUA